rnacentral:ribozyme from 1 species
GAGUUCCUCGAUUAUUUCCAGCGUCUUCUGGCAACCCCAUCUGAUGACGAAUCACAGUCCUUUGUGCGCCCCGUUGUGGAU